rnacentral:rRNA from 1 species
GUCAUACGCUCGUCUCAAAGAUUAAGCCAUGCAUGUGUAAGUAUAACUAAUUGACUUUGAAACUGCGAAUGGCUCAUUAUAUCAGUUAUAGUUUAUUUGGUGAAGGAUACUAAUUGGAUAACCGUAGUAAUUCUAGGGCUAAUACAUGAGUAAAGUCCCGUGGGAUGUGUUUAUUAGAAUGAAAACCAUAUGCUUCGGCAUGAUAGUGAGUAAUAGUAACCUAUCGUAUCGCAUGCUUAAGUAGCGAUGAGUCUUUCAAGUUUCUGCCCUAUCAGCUUUCGAUGGUAGCAUAUGGGUCUACCAUGGCAGUAACGGGUAACGAAGAA